rnacentral:tRNA from 1 species
GCCUGGGUGGCUCAGUGGUUGAGCGUCUGCCUUUGGCUCAGGGCGUGAUCCCAGGGUCAUGGGAUCGAGUCCCAUAUCAGGCU